GACAGAGGGUGCAAACGUUGCUCGGAAUUACUGGGCGUAAAGCGCGUGUAGGCGGGCCGGCAAGUCGGGCGUGAAAUCCCUGGGCUCAACCCAGGAACUGCACUCGAAACUUCCGGUCUAGAGUGGUGGAGAGGGAAGUGGAAUUCCUGGUGUAGCGGUGAAAUGCGUAGAUAUCAGGAAGAACAUCGGUGGCGAAGGCGACUUACUGGACACAUAUUGACGCUGAGGAGCGAAAGCGUGGGGAGCGAACAGG
rnacentral:rRNA from 1 species